rnacentral:rRNA from 1 species
CCUUCGGGGAGCUUAUACAGGUGUUGCAUGGCUGUCGUCAGCUCGUGUCGUGAGAUGUUCGGUUAAGUCCGCUAACGAGCGCAACCCUCGCCGUAUGUUACAAGUGUCAUACGGGACUGCCGGUAAAAAGCCGGAGGAAGGUGAGGAUGAUGUCAAGUCAGCAUGACCUUUAUAUCCAGGGCUACACACACGCUACAAUGGUCUGUACAAUUGGUUGCCAAGCCGCGAGGCGGAGCCAAUCCGUAAAGCAGGCCUCAGUUCAGAUUGCAGUCUGCAACUCGACUGCAUGAAGCCGGAGUUGCUAGUAACCGCAGGUCAGCAAUACUGCGGUGAAUACGUUCCCGGGUCUU